rnacentral:rRNA from 1 species
CACUGGUAUUGCCUCAGUAGCGGCGAGUGAGCGGCAAGAGCUCAGAUUUGAAAUCUCACCUAGUGUGCGAGUUGUAAAUUGCAGGUUGGAGUCUCGGGUUAGACGUGUGUGCAAGUCCCUUGGAACAGGGUGCCACUGAGGGUGAGAGCCCCGUAUCGUGCAUGUCGACACCUGUGAGGCCCUUCUGACGAGUCGAGUUGUUUGGGAAUGCAGCUCUAAGUGGGUGGUAAAUUCCAUCUAAGGCUAAAUAUUGGCGAGAGACCGAUAGCGAACAAGUACUGUGAAGGAAAGAUGAAAAGCACUUUGAAAAGAGAGUGAAACAGCACGUGAAAUUGUUGAAAGGGAAGGGUAUUGGGCUCGACAUGGGAUUUACGCAUCGUUGCCUCUCGUGGGCGGCGCUCUGGGUUUUUCCUGGGCCAGCAUCGGUUUUCGUUGCAGGAUAAGGACAAUUGGAAUGUGGCUCCUCGGAGUGUUAUAGCCUUUUGUAGAUGCUGCGUAUGGGGACCGAGGGCUGCGGCGGACUCGUUUCGUCUCGGAUGCUGGCACAACGGCGCAAUACCGCCCGUCUUGAAC